CACAAAGUCGAAGAGGACAAUUAAGCUGAAACCGAGCCUGGGGCCACCUGCCCCGGAGCUUGCGCCUGAGAAAAAAACACACAGAGGCUACGGCUUCUACUUUCUACUGUUUUUAAUUGAACAUUUUUAAUUUAUGCACAAUAAAAACUGAUUUACCGCUUGCUACCCGUUCGGCUAGAAAAAGUUUAACUUUAACUUUUUAUAACUGCCCCAAACUGCGGAGCAAAAGAGAAGCACAAGAUGGAGGCAAAAAAAAAAUGAUGAGCCAUAAAAGUGGCCAAGGUGUAUGUGUGUGUGUGUGUGUGUGUGUGUGUGGGUCUGAAAGCUAAACUAAAGUUCUUGUAGAGAGCGAGCAACUUUUGCUUUUUAGUGCCGGCAGUUUGGUCUAUUUUACAGCAUUUAAGUGGCCAUGAAUUUCCUCUCCAGCGCAAACUGAGGAUAUCUGACCGGCGGCAACUGUCUGCCAGAAGCACGUGCACGUGGCUCCAUAAAGAAAACACAGUGUGGUUCCAAUACUCCAUCCACCAUCCUCCAACUAGAGCUCCAUCAUCCACCUGCUGUUCCGUCCAGGUAGGCAGGCGCUUUUGUUUUAGUUGCGGUAGAAGCGGUCAGUUUUCGGUCUCAAUUGGAUUUGGUUCUGCCCGAGCAAACGGGACACGUGUGCCCCCCUUAUAUUGCUUGAGUUAGUUAGCGUGGAAACGUGCCGGGCAAUAAAUUGAUCAAAGCAAAAAUUUUUCAACUAAAGCCAUAAAUUUGAUGUUUUGAUUUUGUAGCAGAGCAUCCUUAAAAAUACUCCAACGGCAGAGGGAACAAUCAUUAAAACAGCAGCGGAAUAUAAUCCAGCGUAUCUAGAAAUGAUGCAAUUCGCUCUGCAUGGGGGCGUUACCAAUGAUAUAUCAUGAAAAGAGUUCACAACUUAUCCAUGGACAACUGAGACGAUAUGAACACAUUUAUGGGUAUGUUUUUCUGCCUUCUGGCCGGAUUGUCCAGUUGUCUGAGCAGUGACCCUGCCAAUAUAAAACGGAACCCUACGUACAUAUAUGUGUGCCACCCGCCGGAUCCCUCGUGUGUGCUCUAUAAAGCAUUUAAUGAUACGCGAAAGGUAGAAAAAAACCCAAGAACUGGAGUAAAGCUCAGACGAAAGCACUUGGAGCCCAUUGAUUUCGAAAGUGAUGAUGGGCUAAGAUGCGAAUGGGAAGUUGGAUCGGGGGAAACUCUAUCAGCAGAAAGCGAAGCUAAGAAAUUACUAUCUGAGUUUAAGUCGACAUAAAAGUUUUCUUGAUAUUGCAAUCGAUCCAAAAAAAAUAUAUUCUAUUGUGCUAGA